UUUUAAUAUAAAUAGGAAAGCAAAAAAAUCAAAUGGUGCCCUAGCAGCUCAUUACACUUUCCCAGCCGCACAAACAUUUCCUCUGUUAUUCCCUCUUCAGCUCAUCUUCAUCUUCAUCAAAUCAUCGUCGCAUCACUUGCCCAUCUUUGCGGCUGUUCAACAUCAUCAUCAUCAUCAUCAGCCGUCGUUUCUUUAUCUUUUCUGCCGCGACCGAUAACCAGCCGUGAGAGAGAGAACGUGGCUUACUCGAUGACACUUCUCAUGCUUUCAUCUUUUUUCAUCCAGUGUGGCGUGGUGUGGUGAUGUCUUGUCUUUGUUGGCUUUUUGGAAAACUUGUUGCUUUUAAUGGCGUAUUACUUCUUCUGAAUAUCCAAUCAACAUAAACUUAUUUGCAUUACCCCUCCAGCUUUCCCAUCACCAUUAAAAGUGCUUUGGCUGCUCCUUGACUACUGAAUUCCUGCUCGCAACAAAAGCUAGUUCUUUAGCUCUCUUUACUAAUGUUUUGAACGAGUUGCCACAUUGGGUUGCUGAUUCUGGGCAGCCAAACAAAAUUGUUGUUUUUGUUAAUUAGUUUCCAGAUGAAAUAAUUUUUCUUUAAUUUGCUGAAAUCCUAGAUAUGUAUUUCUAUUUGAU
rnacentral:lncRNA from 1 species